GCCUGAGUGGUUAAGUGGUAGAAUUCUUGCUUGCCAUGCGGGGGGCCCGGGUUUGGUUCCCAGCCCAUGCA
rfam:Salmo salar isolate Sally breed double haploid chromosome ssa15, whole genome shotgun sequence.